UCAGACAUGAUCAAAGAAACA
rnacentral:snRNA from 1 species